UGUUCCUCUCUCUCUCUCUCUUCUCUCUUCUCUCUUCUCUCUUCAUGUCGCUGAAUCCGUUGCCUUCUUCUCUGAAGAGCUCUGUAGGCAGCAAGAGUACCAAUACCCGCCACGGCGGCGAAGUAAGCGGAAGAAAUGGCGGAGGUGAGGGUGGAUCGUAUUACCAGGCUGCCGACCGUAGCCGAGCCCUCUGCUCCUCCUGGAUCAGUCGCCUCCACCUCCGCUCCCUCCCUUUCCCGUCGUCCGAUCUUACGGCAUCGCAUCGCGACGGAAGAAAUUCCACGGCGACUGUGGACUCCGUCCCUGUCCCCCAUCAGGUAGCCUCCGAUGCCGGUGAGUUUGGCGGCGUAGUAAGUCACAACAACAAGCGCACGAUCUCCACCAACGAAUCCCGCACCCCGAACUCGAUUCGCAAUUUCAGUAACUCCUUUGAAGCCGGAAGAUACCUGCUCAAUUGGAGGUUUGGCGGCCCCUCCCUGCCCCUGUCGCCCCCUUCUCGAGCCCUUUACGGCGACGCUGGAGACGGAUCCGUCUGUGGGUUUGGCCCGCUUCGAGUUAGGUCAAGGGUCACGACCCUUCCGGGGGAAGAAGGCGGAAGUCUUUGCCGGGAAUUCGGUGGAGUUGAAAGGGUGCUUGGAGGAGGGUCCUAUGGUGAGGGCGGCUUAUUCCCUCUCGUUCGUGGAAUAGCUCACCUGGGGAAAGCUUUAUGCGGGGAACGUGGAAUGCUUGGAUCUCGUGUCGGAAGGCAACUUGAAUCUGUUCGCGACGAAGCAGAAUUGGGUCAGGGGAAUUUGGGUUCUCUUCCGAGGAGGGUGCCGAAUGUCCAGAAUCAGGUCAAGUUAUCCCCUUUCUUCCAGUCCCGGCCAUCCAUGAACUCAGGUUACUCGACUGAUAGGAACAAUGGCGUCUAUGGUCUUCCAGCAAGGGAGGGAAGUGUUGAGAAUCGGGAUCGAACGAAGCCGCCAGACCAUGAUGAUUGGCGCUCAUCGAUGCGUAUACCACGUUUCCAAUCGCAGGAUUUGGUUGAUGUCUUUACGUCUCGGAGACCCUAUGAGCCGCACAUUUCCAUCGAUACCAGACAUGGUAGCGGUGCUUCCCUUCAUCACAUACGAAGUGACGGUGUUGCUUAUCACGAUGGAGUAGAUGAUGUUGUACCUCUUCAAAACUUUGGAGUAUGUUAAUACUACCCUUGGCUAAUCACUUUAAUCUCAAGCUCAAAUGCGUGGGGCCCUCAUUUCUUUCACGAGAAUCAAUCAACAAGUAAUCUUGGGAGAAUUCCUGCUAGCAUGAAUGAGACAGAAGAGCCUUUUUCAUUUUGGAAUAUGGAAAGGCUCAGUAAAAGAAACACUGUUUCUUCUGUCUCUCCAACGCUUGAACUUGCAGGCAACCUCAGUGUGAAGCGAAGUGCAAAAUUUGACAAUCCUCUUCCUCAUAAGUUCAGAAAGCUGAGCAACGAGGAUUAGCAUCUAAAUUGUUGGUUCUCUGAAUAAAUUGAUCUGUUGCGUGCGGUGACAUGUUUCAAACAGCUGCCUCAUAGCAACACAAGUCUGAACAAUCCUGAGUUAAGAUUUCAGUUUUAAUCCAUUAUCAAGUUUGUCACUGUCCAUGAGUUUCCUUGCAGAAUUAGAGAAUUUCACAUACGCAUAAUGUGGCAGUAUUUUUUUCUUGUGUGUGUAUGUGAGUUAUCAUCCAUGUUGUAUAAUUUCUUGAAAUUAAAGAUUCUUAUUAAAUCCUCAAUAAGAUUAAGCAUAUUCUU